rnacentral:sRNA from 1 species
GGCUUAUAAAUAUGCGGGGUGAAUGGAGUCAGUUCGCUUUUUUAUCAUGUUUUAUCACUUUUUGGUGAUGUUCGGCUGGACAAAUGCGCUGCUACUUGCUGUACUGUAUUUGACACAGAUUUUGUGUCGUUCAUUCAUGUAAAGGUAAGUUUGAUGUCUAAGAUUAAAGGUAGCGUUAAGUGGUUUAAUGAGUCCAAAGGAUUCGGUUUCAUUACUCCGGAAGAUGGCAGCAAGGACGUAUUCGUUCACUUCUCUGCUAUCCAGAGCAACGGUUUCAAAACCCUGGCUGAAGGUCAGCGCGUAGAGUUUGAAAUCACCAGCGGCGCUAAAGGACCUUCUGCUGCUAACGUUAUCGCUAUUUAAUUAUACCGAUUUCCUGAAAAACCCGCCUGAUGGCGGGUUUUUAUUG